AUGAAUGUGCUUGCCUGGAACUGUCGAGGCUUGGGGUUGGACUCGACAGUUGGCGAACUUCGCGACCUGAUUAGGUCCCACAACCCAGCGGUGGUCUUCUUAAGUGAAACAAAGAAGAGUGCAAAAGCGAUGGACAAGCUGAAGUAGAGUAUGGGCUUUAGGAGUGGAGUGGCUGUCAGUUGUGUGGGCAGAAGCGGUGGACUUGCGUUGUGGUGGAGAGAACAUGUACAUGUGACAAUUAGGCCUUGGUGCCAAUACUUCCUGGAUGCUGUUGUAGUGUUGAAGGGGAAAACCUUUAGGAUCACUGGAUUCUAUGGGGAACCCGACACUGAGAAAAGAAAGAAGUCGUGGGAUGCCUUACGCUUUUUACGGAGUCAGGACAAUCUGCCCUAG
rnacentral:rRNA from 1 species